CUCUUACUUCCGUCGUUCUUGCCUCUUCCCAUCUCAAAGACUCGAU
rnacentral:sRNA from 1 species